GCAUGAAGGAUAAACUGGUUAUAUAUUGUCGGCUAGUUCUUCACUUUUCAAUGUUGUGUUUGCUACUGUUUCCUUUUUGGCCCCAUAAGAAGGGUUCCCUUCUAUUCCAUAUGCAAAAUUUUGAAGUGGGACGAACCAGCUACCUAAGUUGGAAAUCCAAUAAGUAAAUUAUUUUUAGCCAUGGACAGGGGUGCGUGGGAGUUAGCUAUUCAUGCACUUUUCAAUGUUGUGUUUGCUACUGUUUCCUUUUUGGCCCCAUAAGAAGGGUUCCAUUCUAUUCCAUAUGCAAAAUUUUGAAGUGGGACGAACCAGCUACCUAAGUUGGAAAUCCAAUAAGUAAAUUAUUUUUAGCCAUGGACAGGGGUGUGCGGGAGUUAGCUAUUCAUGUGCCAGAACCAUGACUUGGUUUCAAUAUCUUAUGGGUUUCAACUCUAGUCUACCCAACUUGUUACUUUAGGCCAAUUUG
rnacentral:lncRNA from 1 species